GGGUUCACAAGGUAUCAGAGGGUCGCCUGGACUCCCAGGAGCAUCUGGUCUCCCAGGCCUGAAAGGAGACAACGGCCAGACAGUUGAAAUUUCCAGUAGCCCAGGACCCAAGGGACAGCCUGGCGAAUCUGGUUUUAAAGGUACAAAAGGAAGAGAUGGACUAAUAGGCAAUAUAGGCUUCCCUGGAAACAAAGGUGAAGAUGGAAAAGUUGGUGUUUCCGGAGAUGUUGGCCUUCCUGGAGCUCCAGGAUUUCCAGGAGUUGCCGGCAUGAGAGGAGAACCAGGACUUCCAGGUUCUUCUGGUCACCAAGGGGCAAUUGGGCCUCUAGGAUCCCCCGGAUUAAUAGGACCCAAAGGCUUCCCUGGAUUUCCUGGUUUACAUGGACUGAAUGGGCUUCCGGGCACCAAGG
rnacentral:lncRNA from 1 species